GAACGCCCAGUCUCCGCGAGCCACCAAAACCUGUGCUCCAAAAAACAAAAAAAUUAAGGCGUGUUCGAAAAUCAAAUUCAAAUCACAAAAAUAACAAUGGCCGCCGACCCUCUCUCGCGAUGUAGUGCCGCGUGAUAACCGAACAGUAUGCUGCCCCUCUUCGCAGGGACCUAAGGCAGUUGCGAAUUCGUUGUUGUGUGUAUUGCAUUGUAUGUGAGGAGUGUGUGACGAAGGUGUACCUAAUUGAUUUUAUUCAGCCUACCGAUGACCCUAUGGGACCAACCUCUACCCGAAUAAAAGACAGCGACUUAUACAAUAAAACCCUAAUUUAAAUCACCCCAAAAACCCCACGUUAAGUAACCUAGCUAGCCCCUCCCUAUUCAAAUUCCUAGUUAGAAGCCGAGUGAAGUGACGAGAAGCGAAGCGAAGUGAAGUGACGAGAAGCGAAGCGAAGUGAAGUGAAGUGACUUGGUGCUGCAAGUGAAAGCGCAUGGAAGUGCGACAAGGCUCGAUUGUUCGGUCGAUCGGUGACUUGUAUAGGACAAGAUGAGUGCAGUGGAGACCCCGGCCGCGGAACCGACGCCGCCCGCGCCGGUGGGGCCGGCCGAGACCCCCACGGGGG